ensembl:lncRNA
AUCAUUUAAUAUGGGGUUUGGCUCAUGUGUGAUGUGUUUGCCUGUUGUUUAAUAUGGGGUUUGGCUCAUGUGUUCUGUGUUUGCCUGUUGUUUAAUAUAGGGUUUGGCUCAUGUGUGAUGUGUUUGCCUGUUGUUUAAUAUGGGGUUUGGCUCAUGUGUGAUGUCAUGUGUUUGCCUGUUGUUUAAUAUGGGGUUUGGCUCAUGUGUGAUGUCAUGUGUUUGCCUGUUGUUUAAUAUGGGGUUUGGCUCAUGUGUGAUGUGUUUGCCUGUUGUUUAAUAUGGGGUUUGGCUCGUGUGAGAUGUGUUUACCUGUUGUUUAAUAUGGGGUUUGGCUCAUGUGUGAUGUGUGUUUGCCGGUUGUUUAGGGGGCGAAGGGAAGCACUGGCGGCAUCGGGGAUCCCGGAGCUGCAGGGCCAACGGGAGAUGCUGGUAUUGAAGGUCCGAUUGGUCUGCCUGGUCCAAAGGGUUUUCUAGGGUUUAAAGGCGAUAAGGUAAGUACUGUUUUUCUGCCUUCUAUAACAAUAGUUUUAAUAGUUUUGAAAUGCUAUUAUGGAUUUUAUUAUUAUUAUGGAAUUACUCUCUCUGUUUCACAGGGUGAUGUUGGAGCACUUGGUCCUAAGGGACGAUCAGGAUCCCCCGGCUAUAAUGGCA